GAUGAACGCUGGCGGCGUGCCUAAUACAUGCGAGUCGAGCGAACAGACGAGGAGCUUGCUCCUCUGACGUUAGCGGCGGACGGGUGAGUAACACGUGGAUAACCUACCUAAGACUGGGAUAACUUCGGGAAACCGGAGCUAAUACCGGAUAAUAUAUUGAACCGCAUGGUUCAAUAGUGAAAGACGGUUUUGCUGUCACUUAUAGAUGGAUCCGCGCCGCAUUAGCUAGUUGGUAAGGUAACGGCUUACCAAGGCAACGAUGCGUAGCCGACCUGAGAGGGUGAUCGGCCACACUGGAACUGAGACACGGUCCAGACUCCUACGGGAGGCAGCAGUAGGGAAUCUUCCGCAAUGGGUGAAAGCCUGACGGAGCAACGCCGCGUGAGUGAUGAAGGUCUUCGGAUCGUAAAACUCUGUUAUUAGGGAAGAACAAAUGUGUAAGUAACUAUGCACGUCUUGACGGUACCUAAUCAGAAAGCCACGGCUAACUACGUG
rnacentral:rRNA from 1 species